CGCGUAGGCGGGGAGGUAAGUCGGGUGUGAAUCCCUCGGCCCAACUGAGGAACUGCGCCCGAGACUGCUUCUCUUGAGUCCCGGAGAGGAAGAUGGAAUUCCCGGUGUAGCGGUGAAAUGUGUAGAGAUCGGGAGGAACACCGGUGGCGAAGGCGGUCUUCUGGACGGUGACUGACGCUGAGGCGCGAAAGCGUGGGGAGCAAAAGG
rnacentral:rRNA from 1 species